UACGUAGGGUGCGAGCGUUGUCCGGAAUUAUUGGGCGUAAAGAGCUCGUAGGCGGUCUGUCGCGUCGAUCGUGAAAACUUGGGGCUUAACCCUGAGCUUGCGGUCGAUACGGGCAUGACUGGAGUUCGGCAGGGGAGACUGGAAUUCCUGGUGUAGCGGUGAAAUGCGCAGAUAUCAGGAAGAACACCCGUGGCGAAGGCGGCUCUCUGGAACGCAACUGACGCUGAGACGCGAAAGCGUGGGGAGCAAACAGG
rnacentral:rRNA from 1 species